rnacentral:rRNA from 1 species
AACGAACGCUGGCGGCAGGCCUAACACAUGCCAGUCGAACGAGGACUUCGGUCCUAGCGUCGGACGGGGGGGUAACGCGUGGGAACGUGCCCUUUGCUUCGGCAUAGCGCUGGGAAACUGGGAGUAAUACCGGAUGAGCCCUUUGGGGGAAAGGUUUAUCGGCGAAGGAUCGGCCCGCGUUGGCUUAGGUUGUUGGUGGGGUAAUGGCCUACCAAGCCGUCGUUCCAUAGCUGGUUUGAGAGGCAGGGCAGCCACUCUGGGGCUGAGACACGGCCCAGAAUCCUACGCGAGGCAGCAGUGGGGAAUCUUAGACAAUGGGGGAAACCCUGAUCGAGCCAUGCCGCGUGAGCGAUGAAGGCCUUAGGGUUGUAAAGCUCUUUAAGCUGGGAAGAUAAUGACGGUACCAGCAGAAGAAGCACCGGCUAACUCCGUG